UGUCAAGAAAAGUCUCUAUCGAGGUUAAAGGUACCCGUACCGCAAACCGACACAGGUGGGUGAGGAGAGUAUCCUAAGGCCAGCGAGAGAACUGUUGUUAAGGAACUCGGCAAAAUGACCCCGUAACGUAGGGAUAAGGGGUGCCACCAUCAGGUGGCCGCAGAGAAUAGGCCCAAGCGACUGUUUACCAAAAACAUAGGUUUCUGC
rnacentral:rRNA from 1 species